GCAGGGGGACGCUGGUCUCGGAAAUCAAGUUUUGUUUUGUUGUGCGACAUGCGGAAAGAAAAAUAAGCGUCACUUAAAAUCGGCUGUAAGCACUUUAGGACUUGUAGAUAAAACUAUCGUGAAGUUAUAAAUGUACCACUCGAACGCUCCUGAGGCCAGCGGGGCGUCUGUUAGCUCAGAUAACGUCUGUCAUAUAAUGCACGAGCGUGGCUCGAAAGUAACCGUCUCGGAAAGUGGUGCGGAGAGUUCGAUUGAUGUUCAGUUGGUGAGCCUUGCGCCGUGUCCCGCCUAGAGAGAGUAGUUUCCAAAACACCCGGAAGCUGUUGUACAUGUGAAAGUGGUGUUAGUCGAGCGGCUGCUUUGGUGUGUCACUUAUGUUGUUCACUUGGCAAAUGUUGACCGCAGUGUUUGCUGUCAAAUGAUCACUUAGGCGCCAUGUCGCGAUUUGGGAUCGUUCCUGUUUUCGAUGUUAAGCAGCUCGGCUCUUCCGACCACGACGCAAAAAACUGUCUUCUGACAGCGCUUCAAGAGGCUAUAAAGCAGGUGCAGAAUGUCGCAGAGCCUGCUGGCACCGGUGCUUUGACAGAAGACACUCCAGAAGCUUGCUGGUUAUGCGAACACCUUGACAGGGUGCUUCUCUAUGGUUUGCAAGAGCCCCAGUGGGGCUAUUGGCCAUGGGUGCGCAAGUUCACGCACCCUGCAGCCCAGCAAGAAAUUGCUUCCUUGCCGUCAGUGUCCACAGAUCUUGGAUAUGGCCGUGCUUGGCUCUUGGCUAGCCUGAAUGGGGGACUGUUGGAGAGCUAUAUGCUGUCCUUCCGCCAGAAUUUGCGGCUGCUGCGCAAAGGCUACUCAUCGAAUUCUCUCCUUAGAGAUCCACAAUACUUGGACCUGCUUGCCACCUUGCUGUCAGGAUUGGAACACAUUCCUUUCAGCCUGAACCAGAACAAUGCACUAUUAGAUGACACUAAUGCUUGGCCAAAGAUCAUAUCAUAUCGUCAGUCUCUGCUCCAUACGGAUGAAGAUGUUGUGGUGCUACCUCAGGGAGUUUCUGUGAUGACCAUAUCAUCAACAGACAGCUCGACCAGCUCUCGUGAGGAUGACUCGGGCAUCCAGAGUGUUCGUGUCUCUUGUGCCACGCUGUCUUCUCUGGCAUCACCUGCGGAGGAAGUGCAUGUCCCCGAGACUUGUGGCUGUGCUGAAUGUGCUGCCUUUCUUGAUCGAGAACACAUUCGGCGCAUUAUCAACCUAGACGUUGUUCCACCAUCAUCUGCCGACUCCAGUGAAGCAGUUGAUUUAGAACUUGAGGUGACACGAGUUGUGAUAACACGACGCAAAGGAGGCCACAGUACUGCUAAACCAAGAACGCUGUUGUCAACAUUUGGAAGUGAAGGUGUAACGACAGUGAUAUUGGAAGCUGGCGAGGCAACGAAUGUUGAUGGCAAAGUGUGUGCUCCACUGAGGCGGGCACUGGUUGAAGCUGAAGGGCAGCCUCUACACUCCUCGCAAGGGGCCCCAUUCAGCGAGAAGGGCAGGACUGGUGUUGCAUGUUUUGCUGCGAUGACUGAGUCGACUGGUUCCAUGAGAGACUCUGGAUGUUAUGCAUUUGUGGAAAGUGACAGAGGCGCACCAGAUGGCUGUGAAGGAGAGGUUGAUGAAGUUAGGCAGGAAGGGAGGACAACAGAUGACUCUGAACAGCAUGAGGAUGUGUUUUCCAUCUAUGAUUGUAGUGGCAAGUGCACCUCAGAUGUGACAUGUGAUGACAGUGGUGACAAUGGCUCUGCUACAGAAGGAGAGGCAGCGGAGUCUUCAAAGUUUGUUGAACAAGAACUGCUCGUAGAAACAAGCAAGAAAGAAGGAUUUGAUAUCAAGGUAGAAAAUAAUGCUCUCCUCCAUCUUACACUAGAGAUAUUUGAAUCAGAUGAUGAGAAAUUCUACAAGAUGUUUCUGGCAUGGAAGUGCUGUGAUGGAAAAGGACUUUUGGAGCCUAUUUAUGUUCUGAUGACAAACAAAUUUUUGUACAUACUUCGACCGAGGGCUGAGGUGAACCUGUUUGCCAGAGAUUUUUCUGUGCGCCUCAUUGAAGUCAAGGUGGUCACAGUCUGGCUGAACUACCAGGGCUUCUCCCUGACUUGCAAUUCUGGGAAAAAGGCCGAUGUGGCCACUGGCCAUGCUGAGCUAACGAGGAAUAUUCUCUCAAGCCUGGAUCUAGCCGUUCGGAGAACUCACAAUGGAGUCAAGUGCCUUCCAUCAAUAGUGAGUCACUGCUCUGAACAGCUAGAUGCCAUGAAGAAGCUCUUGGCACACGAAUUGAAAUCCCAAGAGCCCAGAAACAGUGCUCUGUACAGCUGCAGCGUGGACCGUACCGACGUGCCUCAGGAUGGUGGGCUUGUUGUAAAGGACUACCGUUUGGUGCACUGGGAGAAGUGCAUACAGUCCUCACCGGGGGAUUACGCUUGUGGGCCCAGCGUGGGCAGUCCCCUUAUGUGGAGGUUCCUCGAAGGGAAUGCCAGGCGAGAGAGGAAGAAGCAUUGGGAAGCUGGCUACUUCCUGUUGCGGGCUGGAGUCCUGUACAGGUUCUCAAACCAAGGAGACACUAUACCAAGUGCCACUUACCUUUGGGGUCCACUGUGGUUCCUGUCAGGCAGUGUCAAAUGUUGGGCGACCACAUGCCUUGCAACUGAACCUGGCUCCCUCUGGUGGUGCCUGCCUUCAGCUUGCUGCUUCCAAUGAGGCGGAAAUGGAGCGCUGGGUUUAUGCGCUCACUGAAGCAGGGCAGGCCUCCUUCUGUGGGUCUGGAUCUAUGGGUGGCAUGGUGGCCUGCUGCCUAGUGUUGGUGGGUGACCUUGUGUUGACCUUGGUUGAGGGGUCAAGAGUCUUGGGUGUAGGAGUCAUUAUUGACCUGAGUGUAGUCCGCAGUGAGAACAACUUCUGCAUUAU
rnacentral:misc_RNA from 1 species